AUGGAUCUUAUCGAGAAGUUUUGGCAAUUGUGACGAGAAUGCAGAGUGCUGGUUAUCAGCCAAAUCGCAACUCUAUAACUAGUGCUCUUCAAGCAGUGAGUGAAUUAGGAUAUUUGAGAAUAGGGAAGGAGAUUCAUUGCCAUGUUUUAAGAAAUGGAUUUGACUAUGACCUGCAUAUUGCUACUUCACUAGUAGACAUGUAUGUGAAGAAUGAUGAUUUAACAUCUGCCAAAGCUGUUUUUGAUUGUAUGAAAAACCGAAACAU
rnacentral:misc_RNA from 1 species